rnacentral:rRNA from 1 species
GGGUUGUGAGGUUAAGCGACUAAGCGUACACGGUGGAUGCCCUGGCAGUCAGAGGCGAUGAAGGGCGUGCUAAUCUGCGAUAAGCGCCGGUAAGGUGAUAUGAACCGUUAUAACCGGCGAUACCCGAAUGGGGAAACCCAGUGUGACUCGUCACACUAUCAUUAACUGAAUCCAUAGGUUAAUGAGGCGAACCGGGGGAACUGAAACAUCUAAGUACCCCGAGGAAAAGAAAUCAACCGAGAUUCCCCCAGUAGCGGCGAGCGAACGGGGAGGAGCCCAGAGCCUGAAUCAGCAUGUGUGUUAGUGGAAGCGUCUGGAAAGGCGCGCGAUACAGGGUGAU